rnacentral:lncRNA from 1 species
UGAAAUAUGAAGUUUUAUUAAAAGAAAAAUGGGUGAAAAGAACAAAGUUUUGUCCAUCUUUGUUCAUCAUAGCUGAAAGUUAGAGAAGAGAAAGGAGAGGAGAAAGCUCUUGAGUAUUCGGUCAUUAGGAGGAGGAAAAUUGAAGGUAAGUUCUUGGUACCUUGCUUCUAUUUUGAGGUUCAUGAGUUCUUCUUGAUUCUACCUUAACUCUUGAAGUAUAUUUUGAUUUUUAGUUGUGUUGUGAGCAUCUAGUCAUGAAUCAAAAUGAAGGAAAUUGUUGUUGUUUCAUGUUCUUUUGAUGAAAAAUGGAAGAUAGGUGAAGUUGAGCCAAACAAAUGAGCAUGCAUGUGCCUUAGAUGUUAAAGGGAAAAAUCAGCUAACAUGUUGUGCUUUAAAAUGAUGAAAUGGAGAUUAUACUUAAGUAAAAUCAUAGAUAUGUGAUGAUUGAUUGGUGAUAUACAUGUUUAAAUAACAAGCAUGCAAGUUAGGUAUGAAAGAGUGAUUUGGUAAUAAAUCUGCUUGGGACAGCAGUAGUAACAUGACUUUGGAAAAUCACCAUAAAUUGUGGGAGAUGAGUUAGAAGCUGCAUAAAUUAUGUAAUUAAAGCUUAAUGAGUCUAGUUUCAAAUGGAAUAAAUGAGAACAUAUUUUGAAUUCUGUGCAAUGAGAAAUUUGAUUCGUAAUGAAGAGUGGUCAGAUUAGUCAAAUAGUGAAACAUGGGAAACUUUAAGAAAAAUCUGGUAUUGAUUGGACAUACCAAAAAUUCUGAAAAUUUUAUGGAUAGAAGAUAUAUGAGUCUAUUUUUAUGGGAAAAUUAACGGCACUUGAUUUGAAGUUUCGUAGCUCCAGUUAUAAAUGAUUUAGUGACUGUUGUUCAGGAAGACAUCUUGCAGUGAAAUUAUGAUUAUGUGGUAAACAUUGACAAAAAUUUGUUAAUGAGUUGCUUAUUGAUUUCUUAUAAGCUUACUAUGAUCUGUAGGUGUGGUUGGCCGAAUAUUGUAAGGGGUUAAUACGUAGUUCGUAUUUGAAUAGUUAGAUUAACGUGUUAGUAAUCCAAUUGUAGGCAGUUCGUGUGUGGAUCUCGUCAGCAUAUCGUCGCAAACAGGUGUGUAACUAACACCCUCUUUCUUAGUCUGGAUCGGCAAAAGUCGAAAAGCCGAAAUGCUAAAAACCGGUAUUUUGUAGAUUUGCGAGUGUGCGAAUGCUCGUGAGGUAAAUCGAUUAAUGUUUUUGGUAAGCUGAAAAAUUUGGACUGCAAAGUGUAUGAUUUCUGUGCCCUCGAUAUUUUUGGGCUUAAUAGGCCAAAAUUGGAAUGAUGGGCCAACGGGCCCAAUUCGGUAAGAACCCUCGGUACGUGAUUCUGUUAGUACGUAAAAAGUAGGAAUAUGCAUGAAAAACCCUAAAAUAGAUAAAUUACUGAAAUACCUUUAAAAGUGGAAAAUUUAUAGUUUUACCCCUAGUAGAUAAAUUACCGAAAUACCCCUAGGGUUAAAUUGACCUAAAUGCAUGUUUGACUAUUGUUAUUUACUGCAUGCCAUGUUGUUAUUAUCUGAUGCAUGGGAUUGGGAUAUUGAUGGAGGAAGUACUGAAAGUGGCUUGUCCACGUACUGGAGGCUUUGCCUCAAAUUACUGUUAACUGAGCAGCAAUGCUGCAACUAUGGAGUGUUGGGCUGGGUGGGUUGAGCCAUCCCCACAUAGAGUGUAUGACUGGUACGGGUGGAGUGUAGUGGUUGGUGGGUUGAGUAGUCUCCCCAAAUGGGCUUGCAUAUGUUAUUAAUGUUGCAUGUAUUUUGAAAUGGGCCUAUGGGCCAUACUGUUAUCUGAAUAAGGGGCUAAGGCCCAGUUUAUUGUAAUCUGAAAAGGGCUCUGGCCUAGUAUCACUGUUACCUGAAUGGGCUUAGGCCCAAUGGGCUUGAGCUGAUUUGGGCUUUGAAUGGGUUUUCCUUACACACUGAGUUUCCCCAAACUCACCCCUUUUAUUUUCAUCCACGCAGGAAAUCCCUAACCAUAGUGGGCUUGGAGCUGUGAGGGAAUUCGGAGUGGCCACCCGUUCUGAAAGUUUGGUUUUCUUCUGGUGAACUGGACAUCCUUUUAUUUAUGUUUGAAGUUUUGGGUUUUUUUUAAAUGUAAUAAGACCGCUUAAUUAUUUUUUUAUGGUUUUAAUAUGUAUUACUGAAAUAGGUAUUACUUAUUUUAACUGUUGAAAUUGGAUAGCUUUAGGGCGCGUUUUCAAAAACAACAGUUGAUUUCAAAAUAACACG